AAGUUUGUCAAAACCUUGACUUGUACACAUUUGUAGUGGUUAGGACCUAGCGUUGCUUUAGUUUUGAAGUGUUUAUGGGAUACCUGCCUUGUGUACAAUACUGUCUCAUAGUUCUUAGCUGAUUUUUACUACUUUAGACAUACCAGUUUUGGAAUCAUACUGCAGAAGUUACGCUCUUUUGUUCUUAAGAAGAAGUUGUAGCUCUCUGCCAUGCUUUUGCCUUUUUCUUUUUUUCAUUUGGAGUAUAGUAGCAUAUUACUGCCCGGAAAAUGAUUCUUUAGUGUAUGUUGAUCCUUGCUUUUCUGUCUGAUCAGAUGAGAUACGGGCAACAAUUUGCGGCUUAAGAAGAUAUGGGCAACAAUUUCCUAUUUCCUUGUUGAACUAGCUUUUUAGACUAAUUUGAGUAUGAGGGCGAGCACCGAGUGAUUCAAAUUUCUGUUCAUUGUGAAGAUACGUUGCCUUAAAAAAUAACCACAAGAUUGGGGCCACUGGGCUCAGUAGGCUUGCUGUGCUUUUCCGGGCUCAUAUAAGUGAUUCAAAUGGUUCAUUCUUGUUCCGUAAAGUUUGUAAUGACCACAGUAAUGGGAUAGAGGUAUCAAGAUGAACAAAACAUGUUUUGCUUUAGUUUUGAAGUAUUUACUGCAUUCUGAUAACUGCUUUUGCUACUUCCCUUGGGGAUGCUUUAACAACUACUUCUGCCUUGUAUAGCAGUUUUAGAUAACAAACUUAUUGAAUUCCUAUCCGCCUUGGAAGAACAGAAGCUUUGUGGCUUCAUAGGACUUGGGUGGGGAGUUUGGAUUCUGCUUGAUGCUUAGUUGAAAACAAAGCAGUCAGAAAGUAACUAGAAGCUGAAAGUUACAUGGGCUUGAGAUGAAGCAUGUGGGAUGAACCCACUAGGGUGGCUCACGGGUUAAGGUUGUCACUUGUCCCAAAGACGAAAUGUAAGUUUGGCAGUCUUGUUCAACUGUUGCUAAAUUCACUUUUUCCAUGAUUCUAUGACGCUUGUGUGUUCUUCUUUAGGCCAUUAAGAACUUAAACAAAAAAAAACAGCAGGCAUUACUCAGUUUUACAGUAGGCGAGUUUGCAAAUCCUCAAAGCAAGGCUUUUGGUUGAAAUAGCCAGCUCAUUGUAUUCUCCUUUUUUCACGUUGAAAAACAUGACAGCAGCUGUCGGAGAAAAAUCAUCCGACCAACUUCAGAUUUGGCAGUCUUGUGUUCAACCUCUGCUGAUAAUGCCUUGGGUGCAAUCCUCUUACACUUGUGAGUUCCUUGGUACCAAACCCGGAACUAAACAAAAAAAAACAGCAGGCAUUAGUCGGUUUUGCAUUCAGAAGAAUAUUGGCAAAUGCUCAAGGUACGUCGCUUUUGCUUGAAAUGCAACUUAUCACCAACCACUGUAAUAAACAAUCAUGGAGGAAAUAAAUAAUCUGCACCUCUGAAUCAAUUGCUUGUUUACAAUCUGUGGGACACUUCUUUCACAGGUAUUGCUGAUGGAAUGAAUAUAAACAGUGAUAUUCUUCUUAUGAGUGUUCUUCAUUUUUCACUGACAUGACUAAUGUUUCCAUGAGCAUAUGCAGUAAUUGUAGAUAACUGAUGGACGGCUUACCUUCUUGCGAACUAAGAGACGGCUAAAAAUCUGCUAGAAACCCAAACGGCAUAUCCCUAAUCCCUCUAAAAUUUAGAACGC